rnacentral:tRNA from 1 species
UUUUCCAUGGUGUAAUGGUGAGCACUCUGGACUCUGAAUCCAGCGAUCCAAGUUCAAAUUUCAGUUGGGACU